rnacentral:rRNA from 1 species
GAGAGCAAGCGGACCUCAUAAAGUAUGUCGUAGUCCGGAUUGGAGUCUGCAACUCGACUCCAUGAAGUCGGAAUCGCUAGUAAUCGUAGAUCAGAAUGCUACGGUGAAUACGUUCCCGGGCCUUGUACACACCGCCCGUCACACCAUGGGAGUGGGUUGCAAAAGAAGUAGGUAGCUUAACCUUCGGGAGGGCGCUUACCACUUUGUGAUUCAUGACUGGGGUGAAGUCGUAACAAGGUAACCGUAGGGGAACCUGCGGUUGGAUCACCUCCUUACCUUAAAGAA